AUUGAACGCUGGCGGCAGGCCUAACACAUGCAAGUCGAGCGGAUGAAGGGAGCUUGCUCCUGGAUUCAGCGGCGGACGGGUGAGUAAUGCCUAGGAAUCUGCCUGGUAGUGGGGGAUAACGUCCGGAAACGGGCGCUAAUACCGCAUACGUCCUGCGGGAGAAAGUGGGGGAUCUUCGGACCUCACGCUAUCAGGUGAGCCUAGGUCGGAUUAGCUAGUUGGUGGGGUAAAGGCCUACCAAGGCGACGAUCCGUAACUGGUCUGAGAGGAUGAUCAGUCACACUGGAACUGAGACACGGUCCAGACUCCUACGGGAGGCAGCAGUGGGGAAUAUUGGGCAAUGGGCGAAAGCCUGAUCCAGCCAUGCCGCGUGUGUGAAGAAGGUCUUCGGAUUGUAAAGCACUUUAAGUUGGGAGGAAGGGCUGUAAGUUAAUACCUUGCUGUUUUGACGUUACCAACAGAAUAAGCACCGGCUAACUUCGUG
rnacentral:rRNA from 1 species